CACCUAACACCCCUAGUUUCUAGAAUUACUUUUAAAAAUUCUUUUAUAAUGAUACGUCUUCCACAGAUUUUUUUUGGUGAUCUCUGAAUUUUAAUUUUGCAGUUGUAAACUGGGUCGACAGAAUUAUAGAUUGUGUAUGUAUUGAUAGAUGGUAGGGGUAGGUAAAGAGAACGGGGAUGGCUUAUUGAGAUGGCAGCUACUUAGUGUCUAAAUCUUUCUACUUCCUUCCUUUUUAAAAUUUUCCCAGUUUAGCAUGAGCAAUGAUCAUACAUUGUGCGAUUUUUUUUUUUUUCCUGUAAUUGGGACUUCUGUUUCUGAUUUUUUUGGGGGAAUAUCUGGAGCAGACAUGGAAAAUUUGGUGCAAAUGUGAAAAUAUGAAAUUUUUUCUGUUAAAUGUGAGCAGUAAGCAAGAACUUUUUCUAUAUACCCUUCUGCUGCAGCAGAGAAAUAAACUGGUAGGUGGCAGCAGAGGAAGGAGGAAUUCUUCAGAUUGAUGGCUACUGACAAUACCAAGUGAAGCAAGGGGGACAAAGAAGUGGAAAAAUAAGACUGAAAAUUACUGGAUUUUGACUUUAAGUGGUUUUCUUGAAGUAACCAGUGAUCCUUGCUUACCUCAGUGACAGAAUGGAUGAAGAUGGGUCUGACUCUGUUUUCUCAAGUGGAAAAUAGAAAUAUACAACAAGAAAGCAGUCGCUUUAACCUCUUUCUAAAAUAAAAACGCCAUGAACUGGCAGUGAAAUAGCAUGGAGCAUGACUUGUCCUUUUGGCAGCUGUUUGUACCCACUCUGUCCUGUAUGAAUUUUCUGAGGUCUGGAUAUCUAGACUUGGUGUCUAGCUCCAUGUGUCUUUUUUCUUUUUUCCUUUUCCACUCCUCACCUUUUGCAGGUUGGAACUCUUGGUUCCUUUGGUUCUUGCUCUCUGCCUGAUCUCUCUGUAAUAUCUUCAGGAAGGAUUGAUCCUUUGGCACAUGAGCAGGCACUAAAAUAUGUACUAGAUGGAGUUCUCUCUGUCCUUUCACACUUUGUGCUGAAUAACUAUUGUUGUAUUUUUUAAUCUCAAGAAUACUUCUGACAAGGCAUGUACUUUUUCUACUUUCUGUACUACAUUCUAUAGUCGGAUAUUCAUACUGUAGUCCUGUCACUUAAUGGUUACAUGGUCCUUGGAAAAGUCACUCUUCAAAACAGAUUAUUUGUUAAAAAAUGAAAAUGAAAUAACUGUACCUAGCUUUAUUAGCCUCAUGUACUAUAAUAUAUGUAUAGUGCUUAGCACAUAGUUGAGUAUUUAAUAAAUAUUGUCCAUUCUGUAAACAUUG